rnacentral:rRNA from 1 species
UACGGAGGGGGUUAGCGUUGUUCGGAAUUACUGGGCGUAAAGCGCGCGUAGGCGGAUAUUUAAGUCGGGGGUGAAAUCCCGGGGCUCAACCCUGGAACUGCCUUCGAUACUGGGUAUCUUGAGGUCGAGAGAGGUGAGUGGAAUUCCGAGUGUAGAGGUGAAAUUCGUAGAUAUUCGGAGGAACACCAGUGGCGAAGGCGGCUCACUGGCUCGAUACUGACGCUGAGGUGCGAAAGUGUGGGGAGCAAACAGG